rnacentral:lncRNA from 1 species
GUUGAAACUAGAUGAUCAUUGUGGUCCUUUUCAACCCAGGCCAUUCUAUGAUUUAUUCUAUGUGUUGAGUGAGCCAGCUCUGCACACCUGCCAUCUGCAGUGGAGAGAGACAUGCCGUGCCCCUUGUAAAGGUAGAUCUGAUGCCAUUACGCGUGGCGUUACAUGUUGCAAUGCACACUAAACAAAUUUCCAGACAUUUGUCCACUGAGCCUUUUUUACAAGAGCUCUA